CGUGAUGCCGCGGUAAUUCGUAGGGGGCAAGCGUUGUCCGGAUUUAUUGGGCGUAAAGCGCUCGCAGGUGGUCCGAUGCGUCGUGCGUGAAAGACCCCGGCUCAACUGGGGGGUGUCGUGCGAUACGGUCGGACUGGAGGCCAGUAGGGGGAUGCGGAAUUCCGGGUGUAGUGGUGGAAUGCGUAGAGAUCCGGAGGAACACCAGCGGCGAAGGCGGCAUCCUGGACUGGUCCUGACACUCAUGAGCGAAAGCGUGGGGAGCGAUCCGGAUUAGAUACCCGGGUAGUCCACGCCGUAAACGAUGUGCACUAGGUGUCGGGGGUAUCGACCCCCUCGGUGCCGCAGCUAACGCGAUAAGUGCACCGCCUGGGGACUGCGGCCGCAAGGCUAAAACUCAAAGGAAUUGACGG
rnacentral:rRNA from 1 species